AUGUGAGUGUGUGUGGAAGUAGAGAGAAGAUAGAGAGAAGAAACAACAAGGGUUAUUUCUUGAAUUCCAUUUUUGUGGUAAUUUUUGUUUAAUUAUUGCUUGUUUUCUUGGAUUUUUGGUAUAGAUCAAGAGAUAGAAACCCUAGUAUGCUUUUUCGAAAUUUAUGAUUUGAGUAAAAACAAAAUUGUUUUAAAACAAAAUCUUCUUUUAUAGAUUUACACUUACAAAUUACACUAAAAGAGAUGCAAUUUGCUUCAGAAUUACUCCAUUAAAAACUAAUUUCAUUAGCACUCUUCUCUCUUUUCUCUUCAACGUAUACUUGAAAUUUUUUUUAAGAUAAUAACAAGUUAAUUAAUUCCAUAAACAAUAUGUUUUCAUCACUUCAAGUUACCUCAAGUGAAAUGAAUUUUAUAAUUUUAAAUCGUGUUCCAAGCAAAUCAAAUGAAUUCCAUCUACUUAAACAGCUGAAAACAAUUGGAUCCGAUCAGGUGCACGUAAAUCUCUUAGAUUUGUGUUUUAACACCAAAAAGAGAGGUGAUCAAUGGUAGGUAGAUCUUUUGGCAACUUUCCUUAAAAGGGUAUCACUUGUUUCUCAGAUCUGACUGAAUUCUUCUAUGCAUUUUGUUCUAAAUUUCUUUCUUUUCUUUCCAUUUUUUGGUAAGCUAUAUCUUUCACUCAAGAACUGAUCCAGGAAAAAAAAGGGUUUCGCUUGUUUUUUUGUAUUUUCUUCUUCUGGAAAUUAGAAACUGACAGAAGAGAGUGAGCACACAGAGGCAUAUUUGUAUAAAUCUAUACCAUUGCUUUUGCGUGCUCACUUCUCAUUCUGUCAGCUUCCAGAGCCGGAAUUCGGCCUGUUUUUUGCUCCAGAAAUUCCUUUCUUUCUCAUCUUUUACGUCUCUUUACAAACCCCAACAAAAAAGGCUCCUGGAAGAUGAAGAUGGUGGUGUAUAGUAGGCAAAAAAUGGAGAAGCAGCAGCAAGGUAUCCAAUUUGUGUUUCGUUUUUUUUUUUUGCGUUUGAAUCUUGGUUAGUUUCUGAUGUAUUAAAUUAUAGUUAGUAUAAUAGCGUGGCUUUUGAUGGAGUUUAAGCCAGAUUACUGUGCAAUUUAUAGCGGCAAAACACUGUGCAGGGUAGUAUAUAUAUAGCAUGGGACCAUUUCAUUCACGUUUUCUCUUGCUAAUUUUUUCGAGUAUCUCUCUGCAAAGCCAAACACCCUCCUUUUCUUUUUCUUUUGCUCUUUCUCUUGCGCAUGCGAUUAUGUUAUUAUCUACUCGAGAUUUGAAUCUGAUUUGACCCUGUCUUCACCUGAAUCUUAUCUUAUACUGUUUGUGAAAAUGGGUUUUCCUUCAAAACCCUAGUCUAGCUACAAAUAGGGUUGCUUCUUGUAUUAAUGGAGAAGGGAUUUGUGGUGAGUCGUCCUUUGCUUGCUCUUAGUAAAAACUGAUCUAAUCAUUUUCCAUUGGCUCUUGGAAAUGGGUUUUGUUUUAUCUUUUCAUCUUUUGAUUUGAAGUGCAAGUGAUGCUCUUAGAACAAAAGAAGAGACGUGAAAUCUUUAAAUUAUCGCAUGUAGUGAUUUCUUUCCAGAAAUAUGAAAUUUCUACAUCCAUAGUUUGCUCCUUGCUGUGCUCUUUUUUUUUUUUUUAGCUUUUUGCAGAUAGGCAUGGGAUGGUCAACUCAUUUAUCACGAAGCAGACAGAAUCUAGUCAAAACAGGUUUUUGGAAGCACUUCAGUGCAAAUUCGAGCGAAAAUCUCACAUAGUCUGUGGUUCCUGGCUUUCAAGUUUUUAAAUCAUCAACUUUUUUCUUCUAUUCUUGAUUCACAUCAAGAUAUGUCCCAAGAUUCUUGCUGAGAGUAGAUCGGAAAUGAAGGUGUACUAUAAAGCCAUAGAAGGGUCAUCACCAAGAGUAUGAGAAAUGUGAUAGUUCUGUGCGUUGACUCGUGGGCCUUCAAUUGCUUUACACAUCUAACGGAUGCAUGUCCUAAGGUCUCACUCGGCUUAUGGCAUCGAUCCUAGUGACACCUCAAGACAAGGGAGAUUGCUUAAGAAUCAACAGAGAGCCGGGGAACCUAUGACUUUGUGCCAACUGAAUUUGGAAUGUUCAUUCGGUAUCCGAAGGAAUUUUAAGGUUAGAUUCUCUUUGAGGCCAACACCAUGCUGAAAACGUGGAAAGUUAGGAAUUGGUAAAUACAAGAGAACCUCUUUGAACUUAAUUUCUUUUGGAAAGUUCAAAAACUCUCCUCCGAGUCACUAAGUCCUUUCGUCUCUUUGAUUUUCCUUAACCCUAUAAAGUGCCUGUGUUAACAAAUGGUGAGAGUGACAUAAAAAAAAAGGAAGCAUAAUGGAGCCCCAUGGCCCAUUGGUGAUAGGGGUGCCUGUUUCAUGAUUGAAAAACUUCCCUUUCAUCUGGAGGUACUGUGGAGAUGAUGCUAAAGAUAUCAACAACCAAUUUAUGAAAAUUCAAGAAUUGAAGACAAUCAAUGGAAUGCUAUUACAUAAAUGGCAAUGGCUGUUCAUGAUGUCUAGUCAAUUCUGAUCGUAUCAAAUACUAGCAGUCCGGAUUAAGCUAUAACCAGGCGUACGAGGUAGUGAUUGUUGGGGUCAAAGGUUUCCUUGUUUGCAAUGUGUUCGUAAUCUAUGGAAUUCAAAUUCUAUGUUUUGAUUAGUCCUAAAUUGAAUGAUUGCGGGAUUGUGAUGCCCCAGAUCAGUAUCUAAUUUGCAGGAGAUGUUAAUUCUUAGUUGCUGGCAAUUUGACUUGAAAUAUCAAGGUCUGCUGUUGGUUUUUUCAUUUUGAACAUUUUUCUCUGGGGGGUUGUCAAAAAUCUGAUGGCUGAAAUGAAAGCUCUCUCUCGAAGGCAUAUGUUAAGAAAAAUAAACAGUCUCCUCCCUGCUUAUAUCGAAAAGAUUAUCUUAUGCCUUCUUUCUGGUCAAGUUUUCCUGUGAAUUACAGAGAAAUUUGUCUAGGGUUUCACAACCUCUACCAACAAGAUAACCACAGACCAAAAAUAACAGGUAGGUGUCAACACUGAAAUCAUUUUGAAAUAACAGAAAGCAGCAACAGCAGACAUUUUCUCCCAUCAACAAAUUUCAAGUACAUGUUUAUCGUUCUAUUACGAAAGAGAUGGCAAGCAGAUAUUGAUUGCUUACAUGAAACUUGUGCAGAUACAGGGACUCAAGUGUCACCAGUACCCCGGCAAGCAUCGGCUUCAAAAGCCUUCAAAGGUCUUGCAUGGAAAGGAAGGAGAGAUGCAUGCAAAAAUUACACGCCAUUUUUACUAGAUCUUGGAGAAAAAAAUAACCAGAAAUGUGACAUACCUUAUGUUUUGUAGUGCCUAAGUUUGUUUCGGUGCAGAAACUUGUAUGGCGAUUUGUGGAGAAAAGGUCCGAUGGCGGGAAAAUACAGGGAUGAUUCCCAAAUCCAAACUGUUUUCUUCUUCCAGUAGGGUUUCAACGGACGCACAAAUUAGGCUAUAAGAUAUUGUGGGGCCAUCAUCGGAAUAGAUAAAAUAGAUAAUUAUCAUCUCGGGUAGAUAAAUAAGGACGACAUGAAAUGUACGAAACCUCCAAGGAUUUUAUCAAGUCGUUUUGGUGCAAUUUAUGAGGUUAUGACUGUGGUAUCUGA